rnacentral:lncRNA from 1 species
CUCAAUUUGCCCUUUACAGCUGUGUGGAACAACCCCCACACAACCCCCACCCCCCAUGGACUGGGACAUGCAAUUGGACAAAGUCUGGACUCGAUUCCAACGCAUUUCCAUGCUGUACCUCUCCAUUUUUGGGCGUGUGCCACGCCUUAUCAUAUUUGGGGAUUCUGGGGCCGUUUAUCUGCGUGCAUAUAUUAUGAGCUGAGUGAACUUGUCACGAUCAUUU